UUUUUUUUUUUUUUUUUUUUGUCGAUACGAUACACUAUGGGGAGGGGGAGGGACUGAACCACCACCGAACCAGACGGGGUGCAUAGAGUGCACUACGCACCGUUUGGAUUGUUUUAAGUAAGAUCGCAUUUAAUUGUGACAAAUUGAAAGGAGUUAGGGUUUGAACUCUUGCCACCCACUCCACCAAACCUUAAUGCAUUAGUUGUGGCCACCAGCCAAGGUGUGCUUACUUAAAGUCAUUAUAAAACGCAGUCCAAAAUGAAUAUAAAUUAAGGUAAAUGUAAAUCUUAAAAAAAUAGUGAUAUAUAAUCCGAAUCCCAUAAUUGGGAAGCUUUUAAUUGAAAAGGGUAAUAGAAAUACAUUAGCUCUAAGUUUUGAGAUGAUGAACAAUUAAGCACAAUUCAAAAUCCAAUUUCACAACUUUUAUUAGAUGUAAAAAAAAAUAUUUUUUUGGGAGGAAAUUUAGACGAUGAAUUUUGAUUCUUCCAGCCUCAAAUCUAAUUGGAAUAGCAGUAGUUUGGUGGCAUCCAUUUAUCUCCGCACAGAUGGAAAACGACAACGUUUUCCCCGAGGUUUACACAUAAUCAGCGAUCCAAGAGGGUUUAAGGAGAAAAGAAGAGGCAGAUCCCCCGCGAACUCCGCUUCUGUAAGCUUUAUACAAACCUAUAUAAACAGCGAGGGCAUAUGAUUUUAUUAAUCUUCUCGGUUAAAUCAUUGAUAAAUGGAAUCCGAAGGUAACCAUUUCAAUUUGAUCUGCUGAUUUAUCCAAUCUCAAAAUCUCACCCCGAUCAGUACUAUUCACAUUACUCAUAUUAUUUUUAAUUGAAACUUCCCCGAUUGUUAGGGCAAAGAACAUCGUCAACUCCAUCGGCAGUGCUGGCGUCACUCUUAUGCAAAAGAGCCAAACUUCAUGAAGAACUCCGUAACAUCGAGAAGCAGGUGCAGGUUUUUUAAGGUUUUCGUUUUUGUUAUAAAUUUUUGUAGGGAUAUUUGUUUGAGGUGGGGGAAGGGGCUGCUGAUGAUGUUUUGGGGUAAUUCUUUUGGCAGGUAUAUGAUAUGGAGACAAGUUAUUUGCAGGAUCCAAGCCAGUGUGGGAAUGUUUUGAAAGGUUUUGAGGGGUUUCUAUCCUCUUCCAAGAACACUACCCUGUAAAAUUUCUUCAACACUUAAAUGCAGUCCGCAAAGAUGCUAUUGAAUUUUUCAUGAGCAGCAUGCACUGUAAUGUAGUACUACUAGUUAAUAAGUGGUAGUCGUUAUGUUAUAUGCAAUCGGGCUUUUGCUGAAUUGGCUCUCUGAGACUUUGUGGGCUGUCUUGGGAUUUUUUACAGAACGUUGAUUCAGUUCAUGGUCUAAUGCUUAAAUUUAGGUGAUUUAGUAUUUUCCAGUUGUGGGAUUUAGUUUGUUUUAUGGGCCAUAACGCCACGUGAUUUUGAAAAUUGUUGUUUAAGUACGUACAGCUUCAAGCAAAGCAGUUUGAUUUCAGCGCUGUAUUCUAGUUGCCUGUCCUAUAUUGCAUCUUUCUUAAUCUGAUAUAUUAUUGGAGUAUGUUCAUUUGCUAGCUAGAGUUUGAGAGUUAUGUAGUACCAAUCAUUCCCCAGAAAAGCUUCCAAAGAUAGGCACUCAACUCCAGACAUGAACGCAGUAUCUAAGAAUGAUGGAAAACAUGUUUAGCUUGGAUUUAUAAAGGGAAAGAGUAAACGCUUAAUUUCCUCUCUCUCUCUCUCUCUCUCUUUUUUUUUUUUCUGGUCAAACAUGUUGAGCAUGUUGCCACAUAAACUCUCACCUGCUAUCUAGUUUAGCCUUCCACCUCCUCACAAACAUUUGCAGGCUAAUUUCACAGCUAUAUCCUUUUUAUGUUCUUGUUGAAAUAUUUGACAUUAUUCAAGUUGAUUGCAGUUUAAAGAGAUCCAGGAAGUUUCAACCUGAAGAUAGGCUGUUUUCAUUAUCUUCCACCACGUCACCGGCGGUAUGUAUCCGUAACCUUCAUUUGAAGAUGGUGGCUCACCGGCACACUAAUUGCUAAUUUUGUGUUUAAUUAGACACGGAUGUGGAACUUUUUACCUAUUUAUUCUUUUUCGCAACCCACUAGCAAGCUAUGCACUUAUAUUCUUCCUAAGCUCGACUGAUGUUCCAAAACGGUGCAUGUAAUAGAGUUUUUCAUCUUUAUAUGUAAUAAAACCAUGCAUUUUCUAGAUUGACAGCAUUUAGGGGAUAAGAUUCUUGGUAGGACAAAAGAUGGUUUGAAUGUCUAGCACUACUUAUUUUCUGCAGAUAUAGAGGAAUUAUAAAGCAUUGGUUCUCUCAAUAUCUCUGAGAGAUCUGGAUGAAGUGUUUUGUGUUUGGUGGGCUUGUUCUUUGGUGGAUUAGGUUAAACAAUACAUAUUGAUAAUGGAGAUGGUUAUAUAGAUUACUCAGAAAGUUUAUUGAUUCGGAAAAUUCCUUGCCACUUGAAUUUAGUUCCAAAAAUGAAUAAUAAACUAGUAGCCUCUUACCACUUCAUGUGCUAGCAAGAUGGCUAUUGGGAAUAAUUUUCUACCUUUUUGUGUAAAACAUUUAGUCUGUGUUUUGCUAUCCCCUGUGGAAACUCCCCCUAGUUUCUUUAAACCGGAAUGACUUCUCUGUUGUUGACAAGUCUAGUCUUCUAGCACGAGACUUUGCAUGUGUGAGUAAAGGAGGAUGACAAAUUCUGUAAACUGUUCAUUAGCAAUAUCAUCUUGACUGUUGUCUUUUUUUCUCUUCUCAUUUGGAUUUCCUUCAUUUGCUCAGGCAGAAGAACAAGCUGCUGGACGAGAUGGUGGGGCUUUAUUGGCUAAUGGACAGUAAGUAUUUUAUUUCGUCUGAUGCAGGUAGUGCCUUCUGUGCGCAUUGAAAAUUUUGACAUGGAUAGGGAUUGAUUUGGAUAAAUUUUUGUUAUCUCCACAGAGGGAAACCAAAGAAGGGUAGGGGUGGCCCUAGAGAUGCAAAGAGAUCGAGGCAAUCAAGCGAACCAGAUUUUGACUAUGAAGACGAUGCUGAUUUAAUGUAGUGGUGACUCCUCGUAUGAUGGUACAUCUGUUGGUCUUGCAUGAUGCAGGUUGAUAACUUCAUUGCGAAUGCAUUCUAACCGAGGUGGAAAUGGAGCUUUUUUGGUUGUCAUAAUGUACAUUAUUAUGCGAUCCUUGCUUGGCUAUCAUUUCAGCAUAUGCUGUUGUAAGUAGAUAUGUACAAAUCCCCAUGAUUUUCAUGCAAGAAGGGAAAAAACAACUAAGGCAGGACAUCUUUUUCAAUCAUCUUGUCUUGGCAGGGAUAGAAUUACUUUGGCGCUUGGCAGUCAAAAAUUUUGUGGCCGACUGGAUCCGGCAAAUUGCAAUUGUCAUUUUGUCGAGAUCCUUGGUAUUCUGAGAUUCUCCGUUGCUAGUUCGACAUUGUUAAAGUUCUGGGGCUAGAAAUCUAUGCCUUUACUAUCAGAUGUCAAGGCUGCGACACCCCUCUUCAUGUUUGUUGUGGAAUAGUAGAGUAGGUUCACAUUUUUUUCCGGUUGAAUGUCGUAUAUGGUGUCGGCUAUUUUUGAUUACCUGCUGAUGUUGCUUUGGCAUCUUCCUCCUCAUAAUGUGUUUUUAAGUCCAAUUGUACAAGAUGUCGGAGAGGGUGGAAGACCAUCUGUCAUUUUUUUGGGUCUAGACCUCUAUUCCGGUCCUUAUCCCUGCUAAUUUUCAAGCAUAUCAUGGUAACAGCGAAAGAAAGGAAAAGGAAAAGUAGGAAUGUACCUGUGGUCCUUUCUUUGCUCCGCAGAGAGGAACGUUUUCUAUAAAAUCUGGGGUGGCACCGCUCGGCUUGCAAAAAAGUGGGAAAGCUUACUUUCAACGCACCGCCUGGGGGUCCAUGGGAUUCCAUUUCUUUCCACUAACACUACUGUCUAAAUUGUUUUGGUGCAAAUCUUCAUUAGCUACCUUCUUUUCCUCGAAAGCCAUCAACCUUCCAUUAAAAAAAGUAGAAGUGUUCUUUCGUCUUUGCGCAACAAAGUAAUAAUUGGACAUAUUUACAGCUUCUGCCCCAACUCCAAACCACACCAUCAAUUCAAGGGCCUCAACCAAGGAAGUCAAAAGGCACAGAGAAAGACAAAAAAGGCUUUUCAACAAAAUUACGUUAACCUCGUUGGAGGUUUGGAUAAUCAUGGAAAUCCUUGGAGGUAUUUUUAUUACAAAAUAUUUUUAAUCCUGGACUUUUGCAUCGGGUGAUUCCAUAUCUAUAAGCUUAUGAUUGCUAGUACUAGCAUGUAGAUAACAAUUACAUGAACCAUAUAAAGAUCUGGUAGGUAAAUGGUCACUGCAGUUCUCAAAACCCCAUGGGACAUGGUUAUUCUUACGUCAUCAAAAAUGAAAAAAUCCGAGUAAUGGGCUAUCGUCAAUUGUAUUUUAGCACAUAGGGGACUUGAAUUUGGUCGGUAGAUCUUGGCCAACUUCCUUUUUUUAGCACAUAGGAAAUUUUGGUUGCUUUUCUCCUCUGGUUUUGGGAAUAUAUGCUUUUCUUUCCUUUAUCCCGUUUUCUUUUCUUCUCAGUCCAAAAGUCUUUAUCUGACUUUCCGUCCGAAACCUUAUAACCACAUUCCUUUCCCCCGUCCAUUACCGCAGAAUCAAACUUGCAGUUCAGGUUUACACAAUCACAUUCAUACUCUCAUUUCUUCUUUGAAUAUUUGAAACUUCUCUUCGUGGCCCUCCCGCAGUUACCGUAUCUUCAGCUAUGUCUUUCAGAAUCAGAGGAGUAUGUCUUUCUCUGCUUCUCUCCGUUUUCACGAGCUCGUGAAUUUUUUCUUCUUGAUCAUGCUGAUGAUUUUAGUGCGAAACUUGUACUCCAAUUUAUAUGCUCCUUAAAAGGGCGUCGUUUCGAAAAAUUUUCUGUUUGAUAGUUUGGAGCGGUUGACAUUUUUCAGGUAAUAAUGACGACCGGGUUUCUUUUUUUUUUUUUUUGUAUAUUAUAUUGCAGCAAAAUGCUACUUCUGGUAUGGGAGUUGCUGAUCACAGCAAAGAUGCAUUCUUGGAGUUGAAGAGGAAGAAGGCUUACCGCUAUGUUAUAUUCAAGAUCGAUGAGAAGAAAAAGGAAGUUGUAGUUGAGAAAACUGGCAAUCCAGCUGAAAGCUAUGACGAUUUUACUGCUUCCAUGCCUGAAAAUGAUUGCCGUUAUGCAGUCUAUGACUUUGAUUUUGUCACCUCUGAGAAUUGUCAAAAGAGCAAGAUUUUCUUCAUUGCAUGGUUAGUACUUUCUCAUCCAGUCUUUUAACAUUUUUUUGCCUCCUCUCUAUAUCUACUACCAUCUUUCUUCUUCUUUUUUCUUUUUUGUGUUAUAAUUUUUUUUCUGGCUCUUGUGGGCAAAAACUUUGCUGAAAAAGAAGAAAAUUGGAUGUGCCACUCAGUUGACAUAACCAGUUUCACUCCCUUUGAUACGCCUAAUGUUAGGACAAACACAUCGAUUUAAGUUAGCGUUUGACAGAUUAAUUGUUCAUAACCUGUACAAUUGUCUGCUGUUUGUUUUUAAUUUCUAUACUUGCAAUAACUUGAAUAGAUUACUUACUGAUGGUUGUGACUUAUCAAGCGCUAUCUUUCUGGCCUUAUAUUUUCUCUUUCACGAUAAUGAUAUCUUCCUGAUACUGACUAACUUGAUACAGAAUUUAAGAUUUUACCAUGCGCAGCUCUUAUGUGAGGUAUCUAUUUGACUAUGGUCAUAUGCAUGUUUAUCAGGUCUCCUGCAAUCUCUAGAAUUCGUGCCAAGAUGCUUUAUGCUACAUCCAAAGAAAGGUUUAAAAGAGAGUUGGAUGGAAUUCAUUAUGAAAUUCAGGCUACUGACCCUACUGAAAUGGAUCUCGAAGUUAUCAGGGACCGUGCAAAUUAAAGCUUCUGAUGUUCAUUAUCUUUGUAAGAAGCAAAAAUUGAUAGAGCUCCAUCUUCAAAGCAAUUAUCAUGUUGACUCCUUUGAGCUAUCCACAUAUCCAUUUCUGGAGCAAGUGCUGCAAAAAUAAUGAUACCUGGAGUUACUGAUUUGAGGCCAUGGUCAGUCUCUAGUUGCCUAGUGUAUAAUGUUCUAGUAUGACUUGCUUCUUCUCAUGAGGCGUUCAUAAUCUUGACUCGAGUACAUACAUUAGGCGUAUAUUUGGUUCAACAGACUUUGGUUUGUUUAUUGUGUAUUGCACUUUAAGGAGAAUAAUGCCAAAAGCCUUUUCCUUCUUUCCCUCUCAGUUACAUGUUAAUUCUGCAGCUCUUUUUAUAAACUUAUGCUCUAUAAAUCAUUGGCAACACCCACAUUUCAAUCCUUAAGUUCCCAGAGAUAGUAUUAGAAAAUUAAGCAUAACUUCGUCAGUAAAUUUAAGGCAAUUGCCAGAUUAAAACAUGGAUGUCCGUGAGUUAAUGUAGAAUCCGCGAUCAGGCACUCCUUGUUAGUCUGAUAUAUGUUACUUGACUUGUAAAGCCUUCUUCACGAGAGGUGCACAGAAGCAAGUAGAAUAAAACUAAAGGAGGAGAAGGUGAAAAGCAUCUGUUCUGCCGAUGAGACCUCUAUCCUAAAAAUGAACGACAUAAACAUGCACUUGCUUGUAUGCAGAAGAAGAAAAGAUCAAUCGUUUUGCUGGGAAGCACAAUGACUCCAAGACAAUGGUUUCCCAUUGUAUUCUAUUUAUUGCUAUGUACUUUUUCUACUUUGUCCCUUGCGAUAUUUUUUAGAUUUGCAUUCAUAUAGAAAACAUCCAAAUGUGAUAAAUUAAGGGUUAGAUUAGGAAAAUUUUGACUAAACCUCGCAACUAGCUUAGACUAGGUUGAAAGGGUGCCUUAGAUUUGAGUUAAUCGAAUCUUUGCCUUCCCUUUCUUCAACCGUGACUCCCGAAUCCAUUUUUCUUUUUUUCAAAGACCUGGAGUUGUCAAAAAAGGGUUUUAUUUUUUUUACUUUAUUUUUUGGGUGACUUGGUACACCAAAACUCCAUACCAAGUGGCGACUCCUGUUUUUUCUUAAAAACCCUUUUAGACUAAAUUUUGGACCCAAAUUGUCGCAUUCUUUUAAGUCCCAUUCUAGGUUCCCUUUUAACUUCAUAAAAAUUUAUUUAUAAACCUCACACUUUAUUUUUCUUUUCCAUCGCGAAAAAUGGGGCGCGACACUAGCUCUACACAUUUUCGGUUUCAAAUUGCCCCACUCCAGCGGUGGAUUUGAUGGAUGAUUAUCGUCGUAAGACACGAAAUUCUUGUUCUUCUUCUGAAUUUUUUUUUUUAAAGUUCAUUUCUAUCCAUCCUCUAUCCGGCCCCCUCCCUUUUUUUAUGUUUUCUCUUUUUCUUUUGACCUUUUAGAUAUAUAUAUUUUUUAUAAAUAUGAUGUAUAUAACAUAAAUAUUGAUAUGCGUCCAUUAAUGAGAACGAGGUCCACAACCCACCAGUCCUAUUGCAUUUUGCUAAUGCCGCUGAGUAGUCGCCUUUUAAGUCCCAAGAGGCCAGGAAGAAGCUACUUGCUACAAAAUCUUCACCAACUCCAAUGACCCUAAGCCCCACCCUCCCGCUUUCACUCCUUCGCUAGUUGCAUUUUGCUGGAUUUGUUUUGCGGCUUUUGCCCUGUACUAAUUAGAUAUUUACAGCUACCAUAUAUCAUGAUAUGUAUGUAAUGGAGGAAUACGGGACAAUAAAUAAAUCCAUCUUUUGUUACCAAUAAUACAGCAUCAAUAGUCUUUAAAAACUAGUACUUGAAAGUUUGAAGUUUUGAUGUACACAUCCCUCUAAAUCGAAGAUACUUGAACAAUGAUAUACAGACACGAACGCAUAUUUUGUGAAUGUAAGGGUUGUAUAAGUGGGAAAUUUUUUAUGGUCAUUUUUUUUGUGUAAAAAAUUAUUACGUUUUCGUGGACAUAUUUUUUAAUUAUCUUUUUAUUUCAUAUACAUCAAAUCAUUAUGAUAUAUAGAAAUCAAAUCGUUGUGGUAUAUAUUUCUAUAGAAACUUCUAAAAAUAAUAAUCCAAACGGAGUUUAAAUUUGCAAGUUCCUUCCUCUUAUGAUCAAUGAGAUUCUCUCACUUCACAAGUCUCAGUAUACAUAAAUAUGGGUUGGCCAGCCAGCCUAUGGGUUCUAAGUGCCAAACUCUUGUCCGAAUAGUGAACGGUGAACGCACUGCAUCUAUCUAUCCUCCCCAAUUCCACCUCUCCAACUCAAAAAACUCAUCAUAUCAUACCAAUAAUCAUAUUCCCUCCCUCCCUUCUCCCUGAGUCCAAAGUGGAGAGUGUAAAUUAAGCAAGAAGAUUAUAGGGCGAGAAAAAAUGCCAAGCAAUCUGGGAAGAAACAUAAAUCUUUGCUUCACAAAUAUCACGGCACCCUCAUCUCCCCAAUCCUCGAUCCAAGCUGAGCACAGCCGUUCCCUAUCCAGCUCCGCAGCAUCAGUCCUCAUCAAGAACUUCAACUCCCUCUACGAUUUCACUUUUGACUGCACCACCUAUUCCAAGUCCUUUCCCCACCCCACGUCCGCCACCACCACCUCCGACGACGACCUCUCCUCCUCCGAAUCCUACACCACCUCCUCCACCCCGGACUUCUCCACCGUCUUCGCAUCCCAACGCUUUUUCUGCUCCUCUCCUGGCCGUUCUAACUCCAUCAUAGACUCCUCAUCGUCCCUAUCGUCAACCUCCUCGUCGUCUCCGGGCAUCCCGACCGAACCCGACAGCGUCGUGGGAGGAAGCAUUGCUGUUGCGACCUAUUCGCCAGACCCUUUCAUGGACUUUCGACGGUCCAUGCAAGAAAUGGUGGAGGCCCAUGACCUGAUCGACGUUGCAGCCAAUUGGGACUACUUGCACGAGCUUCUCACCUGCUAUCUGUCUCUCAAUCCCAAGAGAACCCACAAAUUCAUCGUCGGAGCUUUUGCCGAUCUUCUUGUCAGUCUCAUUACUUCAUCAUCACCAGAUGAUGAGCGCUGCCGCUGUACGAAAUCAAAAUUCUCCGAUGAUGGUCGUAAGAUGUCAGGCAUGGGUGGACGGAUGUGAAAUUUUUGCGGGCCCCUAGCCAUUAAUUAAGAUCACGUCAUUGUUUUAGGGAGGAAAGGCGUUCAAGGUAAUAAGGUGGUGAAUGGAUAGCAAUGAGAGUCGAAUCUCUGCAUCUUUUUGAGGAAAGAAAAGAAUACGAGUGGCUGCAAAUGUGAUUAAUGUAGAAAAUUAUGGAAAUCUGAAAAGAAAUUGAUGUAAUGUUGACAGUUCAUUGUUAUGCAUGCAUCUGGUCCCCUAUUGUCCUCAAUUAUAUCGAUACAUAAAUAAAUUUAAUGGUAUCAUUAAGACCUUUAUAUUUCUGGCACUUCUUGUUUCUUGGUUUUUAAGUUACUUACAUGCUUCUAAUUUUCUAAAUAUGCUAAGCAGCCUAGCACGGCUGCACGACACAGAAGCAGAAGCAGGAGACGAAGCCUUGGUCUUUGCUUCUGGUGGCAGACUCCCUGAAAAGUGUAUCUACUUUUUCAGAGUUUUCUUUUUUUUUGGGGUUAAUUCAGAUUCCAGCGUGCAGGACAAUAAUGGAAUGAAGACAAGACCAGAUUUGUACUCUGAUGGGAUAUCCAGACCAUCCACCUUUCCAAUUUCUAAAAGCUGCCCCCGUCUUUAAUAGAGUACUUUCAUUCAGUCACCGUGGCGUUCUUCCUAUUGAACUUCUGACCCCGACCCUAAUCGAAAGAAGAUGACAGACAAAAAGGGUCCUUCUUACGACGUAGUUGGCCUUCACUCAUCAAGGAGGGCAUUAGGCUUGGGCAGAAGCUAAGGUAGCUGGCCUUUCGGCCUCGCUGCCCACGCCCGCUGAACUCGAUUGGGGAGAAAGAUAAUUUGCUACAAUCUGUAUGUUAAUGAUGCAUCUGUUGACAAACAUUGGUCAUGCAAGUUUACCUUCUUCUACCAUAAGGAAAGAAAACCAAAUGGCAAAAGAACUUCUUAACAUUUUGUUAGCUUUGGCAAUGUUUGUAUUGUACUCACUGUAUACGAACAUUGGAAGCUGUAAUUCGGUCGUCUCACUUCAUUUUGCCACCUUUUCUCUAGUUUGGAGAAGGAUUGUAUAUAAGUGAGAUGACGCUGGAGUUUAAUUUAACAUAUAGUAUUCCAUAAUAACUAUCCUCAGAUCCGUUUUAAGUGGGGGAAAUCAUGCGAUUGUCGAGGACUAUCAGUAAAUUUUUUUUUUUUUAAAGUGUGUGUGUGUUUUUUUUUGGCCUGCUUAAUUAGGAGAAAUGAAACCUACUUUUUAGCCAGCAGGGUUUCAUUUUUUGAACCCCUCGCCCCUUCCCCCCUCCAGAGAAUGAUUAAAAGUGUGUCAAGUUCCAAGAAUGAUUUAAGAACAUGAGCCACUAGCUAGUUAGUUUGAAUGGAAUAACAUGAUUAAUGAAGGGAUAUACUAUUAUCAAGAAAAGUAGUACUCCUAAGUAAAUAUGUAAUUAUUUUAACUCACACUUGUUGAUCUGUAUGAACAUGAAAAUAGGUCUUAGUAUCUUUUAUGUAAUGGAGGGAAAAGAAAACACGUUGACCAACUAGCACUGACUCCGAAACUGGCUUCAAGUUUAAGCAUUAGGAGUCCGUGGAAACCAGCGGGCUAAGUGAUCUCUGCAGAGUGCAAACGACAAUUAAAAUUCUUAAAAUUUCAUUAACUGUUGUUGACUGUUCCAAUCAAAGAGUAUAAAACAAUAAUGUGAAGGCAUCGACAAACUGGUGGAUGGUUGAUAAAAGUUGAUGCCACGAUUUCACGGGAUUAUUUGUCUUACGCUGUACAAACUACAUCGAGCCACGAUAAACCUUUUUAAUCUGUUUUUUUUUUGCUUUAAAACUAAGCAGUAUAGACAACAAAUUGGAUAGGAGUUGAUGAAGCCAAAAUUUUUACAGUUUAUUAUGCCCACCACAUAGCCGAGAGGGAAUCUCAUGUUUUGUUUUGCCUCUUGUUAUUUAAUUAAUUAUUCGUGAAUAUUAAUUUUCUUGACAAUCUCUACCUAAUCCGUGAAUAUUAAUUUUAUCGACAAUCUCUGCUUAAUUAGGAUUCUGUUCUGCUAUUUUUUUUUUUUUAAUGAAAAGAUAACUCUCAUUCAUCGCCACCAAUAGAAAUAUUUAAUCAUCCCACGAAACAAGUUUAGACUUCAAACUAAUCCCAAAAUGCGCAAGAACAUGUGCAGCAUUCCCUGUCCUAUCACCUGUGUACAUGUACAAUCCUGCAUUUUUUUUUUAAUGUUGAAUGCAAUAGUAAUUCAGCUUGUUCCACUCAAGUAUCAAUGUAUGAAUAAUCAGGCUCAUCAUGUUUUGUACUAGCUCAUAAGAAUCACCUUCCAAGUCAAACAUCCCCAUAUCGGAAGUCCACAAUAACUGUCAAAAUGUCUGCAUCAACAACAUUAAUGUUGUUAAACACUCUGGUAAGGCAAUCAAUACUUCUUUUUAUCAUCACACACUAUUACCCUAACUUCUACCUUCUCUCUCUCUCUCUCUUUUUUUUUUCAAGUCCAUCAAUGCUAAAUUUUUCCUUUCCGUGACUUCAUCCACGUCCUAAUCAUUCAACCCUGUGUUUGUUUGAACACUAGCAGUCUCUUUGUGUAGUUAAGUGAAUUUCAAGAAAUAAGAACGAGUGAAAUCUGCAACCUCUUUUGCUUUCAUCACUUUAUUCUCAAAUAUCAACUCGUCACAUUAUUCUGCUCUUUCAUCUUUACUGCUGUCCAUCGUAAACUGCCAUGUGAUGUAUGUAUUUGGCUUUCUUUUAUGGAAAUAAAUAAUUACUUUCUGUUGACUCAUAUCUUAUUUUUAGGUGUUUAUUUAUGUAGUGAUGAUUAACAACAUAUCCGUUUGUUUUACAUGAGAUGCAAUGGAGGACAAAGCGUAUUCUUCUGUAUCACUAAUGAAUGGUGUUUGGACCAUUCAUUUUCUCAACUCUGUUGGUCGAACUGCUCUGGAUUUAUUACCCAACAACAUUAAUUCAUUCUUUAAUUAUUUUGGAUCUUACAUAUAGCGAAGGAAAAUAUGAAUUUUUUAGUUAAUCAAAAUUUUUUCUUGCCAAAAAAAAAAGAGUAAAAUUAUCUAUUGUUUUUUUUUUUUUAGUCUGACACAGGGGUGUCCGGACCUUUGGCCCAACUAAUCCCCUGCGGCUCGGAGAGGACGCCCCAACCCACUCCGAACGUAUUAAUAGCAUGACUCGAAUCCUGGUGGACAUGACUAAAGAGAAACAAUCACACCGGUUGAGCUACCCCGUUGGAGUCUUGGAGACAGUAAAAGUAUCUAUUGUGGUUUGUGACUUUUAUGCAAAAGGUGGCAUAGGCACAGUUAAGGUUACCAAGUAAGUAACUUAAACCCACUCAAAUGUUAAUGACCUUUUAUAGUUUUAUGUAACAUCUUGGACUUCGAAGAUCUUAAACAUAAAUUCAUGAGCGCUUCUAUAGUAGACAAAGAAUUUAAGCCGAAAGUGUUGUGAAAACAUCCAUAAUUAGAAAAAUGAUUUCUACAAAGAUGCUUUGUUACUUCCAGAAAAAGGAAAAUGCAGAGUAAUCUUGCUGGUUUAGAAGCAGUAGACAAAAGGGUCAUCGAAUUAUAAGGUAAAUUUCUAUAAAGUAACGGCAAUACAGGUCCUUGUGAAUUACCAAUAAAGGCAAAUAACAAAGCGUACUAAAGAAAUGGAUGACAAAAGCAAAAGAUGGACGUGAAAAGAUCAAAUUUUGAGUCGAUUCUUCACUGCCUUAACCUGAAGUAGCAUUUGAUGUGACCCUACUUUUGAUGAUCUUAAAAUGGAUUAGAUUUGGGCUACACGCCCUUUUGCCGGCUCUGGUGAAGGCCUAGGUCCAUUCUCAUUAUCAAGCGUUGCCAUUUAUUUUGCCCAUGGCCGUCGACGUUGAGUUUUUAAUUUGCAGGCUUUUGUUUGAAUUAUAAGUUAUUUGAGAUAUUUUUACUGUAGCACUUUUUGUAAUGUGAUGUAUAUGAGAUAAAAAAAUAUAUUGAAAAUUGUAAUGAUGAUGUAAGCAAAUAUAUUUGAGAAAAUAAUCAGCUGUCCAAACAAACCUACAUAUUCCUUUCAACUUACGGGCUGGUGUAUUCCUUUCAACUUACGGGCCGUUAACGAGUCUGGUUGCAAGAUCAAAAUUGUUAUGCCGGCCAAUGUAUUUGAACCCUUAAAGAAAUUAUUAUUAUUGGUGGUUCGUUGAUUUGGUAUUCUCUAUGUGUUAGUGUUAGGCCUGUCAAUCGGGCCGAUGAGUUCAAACUCAGCUCAUUUAAUUUGAAUUAUUUUCGGGUUUCGGACUAUGAGUUUCGGGUUCGUAAAUGUGAAACUCAUAUUCAACUCACAUAAUAUUCGGGUUGUGAGCCUUAAUCGGGCUUAGCCCAAACUCACUUAUUACUCCUUAAUUUUUUUAAUAUAAUUACUAUAACUAUUAAGUUGUAAAACUAAUUUAACAUUUACAAGACUAUAAUAUUAAAACUAAACAUGAACAAAUAAUAGUUCUUAAAACGUAUAUAAACCAAAAAUUUUCAACAAUAUUUAUAUUUAAUCCAUUCAAAAUGCAUGAAAAAUAGUAAUAAAACAUGCGAUCAUAAGCCAAUACAUAUUUAAAAGUUGAAACUUUUUUUAUAAUCUUGUGAUUGAAAUCCAAAUAUGCUUAAUGAUUUUUGUGUUUGUAGACCAAAAAAAAUCAACCAAUAUUAUGCCAAUACAAAAAUUUACUCAACCAAUAAGAAAAAUUAGAGAUUUAGUUAUGCAUUAUCAAUAUUGGCUCUCAAGAAAGCUCAUGAAAGAGUUUUUAGAUGUAUUUUUGUGUUUUGUAAUUUAUGUAUAUAUUUAGUAUUUAGUAAUAAUAUAUUUGGAUAUAUAAUUAUACAUAAUAUCAAAUAUAAAUAUUAUAUAUAUAGGUAAUUAAAGGGCCGGGCCUAUAUCGGGUUUGAGCCUAAUAAGGCCCAAGCUCGGCUCACAUUUAAUUCGGGCCUAUUUUUUAGGUUUAGACUCAGACCGGCUCACUAAAUGAUCGGGCUCAUCGGGCUUUCUGUCGGGCCGAGCGAGUCGAGCUCGGGCUGGCCCAACCCCAUUGACAGUCCAAGUUAGUGUUUUUUUUUAGAGGUGAAAUUUAAGAAGCGGCAGAGAAAUGUAAAUCCAGAAUCUCUAAAUAAGGAUAGACAAAAAUAUCCGUUGAUAUGAAAAUUCAUUAUAUUCGAUCCGAUUUGAUCUGAAAAAUAGGAUAUUCGAUCCACAUUUUUUAGUUGGGUCAAAAAAGGGUUAGAUAUCCGCUUAUAUGCAGGGCAAGUUAGGAUCACAAGAUUAAAUCAGUGUACAUCUCUCCUGCGCAAGUUGCAAUUGUCAAAUCCACUAAUCAACAGGUUUAAGUUCCAAUAAUUAUGAUGCAAUCUGUCGAAAGAGACUCAAGACCCAACAGAAUUCCGGAUCUGAUAACUAUAUAUGAAAUAAAUUUGGAUCUAACAACAAAAGAAGAAAAAAAAAAAAGAAAAUUCUCACUAGCACUCCUAGAAGAAGCAGAAUAUUUUAACUAAGAACCCCUAUGAAAAACAGAGAACUUUCACUAAAAAAAAAAUUUAGAGGAUAUUUAUUGAAACUUAUAGUAAAAGAAGAAUUCUGGUAAAAUCAAACAAAAAUGACAACCAUUAUUUUGAAAACAAAAGUUCCACCAAAACAUGAAGGGUUAGUGGCCGCUGUCCCCUCAAUUCUUGGACAACCAUUUCUUCUAUAGUGGAAUACAAGGCUGUGGUUUUGAACUACAUGUUCUUAAAGAUCCUCCAACAACCCUCAUAAGACUCAAUUAGCUCAGCUCCUUGUUUAGUGUUUAGUUAACGUGCCUCCAUCGUACCGAAAAAGAAUACACCAUGGCUGUGAAGCAUGGUCACUAGAGUGGGAUGCAGUUUCAUCUUCUUUACCCCAAACUCAAAAAAUGAAUAAAAGAGAGAGAGAGAGAGAGAAUGCGAUGAGCGUCUUUAACGCAUGAAGGUCUAUUCAAAAAUCAUACAACACAUGGCAUGUGGAAUUUACGUGGAUGAGAAGCAUGUUUAUGAUUUAUGAGAAUGGAUGGGGCUUGAUCGGGUAAAGCCAAGAUGACUGGUCCUCUCAAUUGCACAGCACACAUGGUGGGUAGGGUUGAAACUUGGAUGACAUUGCGACAAAGGACUGAGUCAAGCGUUCCGACUUUUACCCUACAAAAUGAGGGAAAGCUACAUGAUUUAUGGUUGUUAAGCGUCAUGAUGGUUACUCAAAUGGGGGCAAACCAACGAUUCAAUCACAAAAAGAAAACGGACGAUCAACUUUCACAUAUACCUUACUGUCUCUUUUACUUUCUUCUUUGCAAAAACACCAUGGCAUAUGCAAAUCCUUCAAACCUGAGAAAGUCGUCACUGGAGGGGGCUGGGGACUCGAUUCUCUGGAUCUCAUCGUUGCCGCUCUCUGCCGUUUUCAUCAGCUAGCUACACUAAUAACGUUGUACAUGCCAGAAUGAAGUAUUGGUGGUGGUUCCAUUUUCUUGAUACUCUUAUACUUAACGCGUGUCUAUUACUGUUAGAAUAAUACCCCGAGUAGAGGUGUCAAAAUGGGUGACUUGGACGGGUUUGGGUUGGGUAAAAUGGAUAAUGGGUAUAAGUGAGUCAACUCAUUUAUACCAAUUUAAUUAGAUGGGUAUAAAUGGGUAAAUCAAAAAAUGAAUUGGGUAACCCAAUUACCCAUUUAUAACCCAUUUAUUUUAACUUUUUGUAAACUCAUUUAAAUUCAUUUUUGCAAACUAAGUUAUCAAUUUAUACCACUCUUUGUAACCAUCAUUAGUUUUAAAUAUUUAUUUAUAAUGUUCAAUAAACUUAAUUACCAAAUUUUUUUCAUUUAUACUCUAUGUCACAAAAUUACCUAUUAUUUAAUAAUUGAAUAAUAAGAAUAUAAAAAUUUGAACUAAGUACUAUAAAAAUUAAUAUAAAAACUUAAUCCAAAAAUUUUGAACUCCUAACAUUUUUUUUCAUAUAUAAAUUUAAAAUUUCAUUUUAGAAAGAUAAGAAAAUAGGUUAAAAUUUAUCAUAAAUUAAUGAGCAAGUUAACAAACUAAGAGAAAAUAAAAUAAUAAGAUAAAACCAAUAAAUAAUAAUAAUAAUAAUAAUGAUGAAACAAAAGUAGUUAACAUCGUGACAAAAUGAAAAAUUUGAAAAAAAAAUGGGUGGGGGAAAAGAAGAGACUUGGGGGAAGAGAAUUCUAAAUGGGUUAAUUGGGUUUGAUGAGUUACCCAAUAAUACCCAUUUAUUAAAUGGGUAUUAUUGGGUAACCCAUUUAUACCCAUAUACAAAAAUUUAAGAUACCCAUACCCAUCUAUUCAUGGGCGGGUAUGGGUAAAUUUAAUUAAGUGGGUUGAUUUGCCACCUCUAACCCCGACUAAUCGGGCUAGAUAAACAAAAAAAAAAAAAAAAAGGGUCAAUGUUGCUCAAUAAAUGCCCGGAUGUCUUGAUCUAGUCCAAUAACUCGAAUUGCAAAUCCGGGUCUACCAGCAGGUUAAGUAGGGUCAAUGUUGUCUGCCUGAGGUCAAGUUGAGCGCUGCCGACUUCCUUUCUCUCUUAACUUCUUGUUGGACGGAAGCUGAAUUGAUUAGCAUAAUUCAUGCCAAUUCCUGCCUUCUGAGUUCCGACUAGGUAGUACUAGUAAUUAUUCGUGGGUGGUCGUAAUUAGAGGCUUCUGGACCGCAUCAUUUAAAUGCUGUGGCUGUAUUAAUUGCGUAAGGGAAACGGUCACAUUAGCACUUCUAUCAAGUUGGAAGAAUUAAUUGUGAUUAGGUUUCAAAACAAGAUUGGUUUGGGCGUCGUACAUCAUAUGUAGGCCGACCGGCCACCGCCUAAUUAAUACGAAAAUUACACGUGAGGAGAUAUUUAGGGCGGAGACGCAACUUCACCUUCUAAAAAUCUUCAAAUAACCAAACAGGAAAUUACCUUCCAUUCUGUUUUAAAGACGAAGAAAUUAAUUUUAUACAGCGGAAAGGAUCAGAUCCAGGUAUGAUCUGGAAAGAUAUAAUACACUAUUACACUUAUUGUGGGGGGGGCAUGAGUUCACGACUUGACUGAUUCAGUUGCGUCAUAAUUGGUCGGAUUGCAAUGAAUAUGAUAAUUGCACUCAUAAUUCAUCAUUGCCUCUCCAGAAUCCAGAUUAGCAUGUAAGGCUGAAAGAUAAUCAAUUGACUCGAAACGAAUUUGGUUUGAUAGGAGCUCGUUCGAGAUUGGUUUGUCAAUUAAUAAAUUCAAGUUUGAACAUUAUUUUAUGUUCGAUAAUAAACUCGUUCAAAUUCAACUUCAGAAACAAACUCUCGUUAAAUAUGAACAAAUUUUCAAAGUCUCGUUAAAAUGAUCAAACAAGAUUAAUCAUUAGGAUGUUCAGUUAGAUUAGCUCCGCUUGCACCCCUAACCGAAUGCUUUAUUCAUUUUCCUAUUAUCUGCCCCGGUGGCUAAAUUCGUCUUUCUUGGAGCCCCGCGGGAAAUGAAAAUUACAGGAGUACAUAUAUGUAUAGUUUCCCUCUCGGGCUAUCAAGAACUCGAAGACACGUCAUGUCGAGGGAGGAGGACAAAGAGAAGGAAAGGCUGCUAAGAUCCCUUUGGGUUAUACCACAACUUAUCUGACAUUCCGAAUUCCAGACAGAAGAUUAUCUGACCCUCCAGGGAAUAUAUGGUCGUUUAGUUUAACUUUAAUCAAGUUAAUAUCCCCACGAAAAGAUAAUAAUAAAGAAUUUGGUUUCUGUUGUCUCUGUAACUGCUGGAAUUCUCGGGGUCUUGGCAUGUCUGCUACAAUAAUGGCACUCCAUUACCAGUUGAGACAAUGAGAGUGACACCACCGUGGGGAAAGGGAGUUUGCUUUUCCUGUUCGUGUCGCUGUAUAACAUAACAUAACGUGCCUAACAAGUGUCCAUUUGCAGCCCAAUUGCCCGUUUCAUUCAUUGAUGAGUAAACUUCCAACCACUUCUCCUUCCUCGCUAAAGCUGUCUUUUAGCACUCAAUUUUCUGAUCUCAUCUGCUAGCCUUUUCCUCCCUUUCCUGCAACCCAAGUCUUUUGGUGCAGACAUUCUUUACAGACUUUGAGCACUGAUCGACUAGGAUUUGACAAAGAAGCAUGCUUUUGUACACAAACCUACAGCUCAUCCAAUAGAAUAGUCACUUUUCAUUUGGAAACAUAUCAACAUCUUGCUCCAUCAGAACAUGGGAGCAAAUGCUUGGUUCCUCAUCUAGUUUGAGCUCCUACAAAUUCAUCUAAUUUAAGUUGCUACAAGAGCAGGAAUUUAUAGCUGGGGAUCGCACAGCUUGAAUGAAGUUGGAGAAGAAAAUUAAUUGAGCUAUAGAUUCACAGAUAAUGAGGGACUUCCCUUCUUGUUUCAAUGAAAGUGGGGUCCAGGUUGCUGAUUCUUCCCCAGCAUCAUCAAAUUCUAGUAAAGCUUCUCAGAAUCUCGUUACAUGCGUCUAUCAGACACAGUUUCAGGGCACUUCAUGCUUCAUUACCAUUACCUGGUCCAAGAAUUUGAUGGGGCAAGGAGUUAGCAUUGGAAUUCGGAGUUCAACCAAUGAAUGCGUCUGCAAGGUUGAUAUUAAGCCUUGGUUAUUUACUCCAAGAAAAGGGUUCAGAAGUUCAGAGGCCGAUUCCACUGCAAUUGACAUAUAUUGGGAUUUUUCAUCCGCAAAAUUUGGUUUUGGCCCGGAACCGCUAGAGGGUUUCUAUUUGGCUGUUGCAUUUAACCAAGAACUAGUCCUACUCCUCGGGGAUUUGCAAAAGGAAGUGUAUAAGAAAAUAGGUACUAGCCCUGUUGCAUCUAAUACGGUGUUUAUUGCCAAAAGAGAGCACAUCUUUGGGAAGAGAGUAUACACUACAAAGGCUCAAUUCUGUGACCACGGGCCGAUACAUGACAUCGAAAUUGAGUGCGAUACUGGGGGAUGAACGAUCCAUCUCUGGCCAUCAGCGUGGAUAGCAGAGCGGUGUUGCAGGUGAAGCGGCUGCGGUGGAAGUUCAGGGGGAACGAGACUAUUUUGGUGGAUGGACUGCCGGUGGAAGUGUACUGGGAUGUUCAUAGUUGGUUCUUUGGGAAUGUUAUGGGCAAUGCUGUUUUCCUGUUUCAAACCUGUCUCUCGGCCGAGAAGCUGCGAAACCGCCACUCCACCGUCUCCUCAAAUCCGUCUGUGUUCAGUCGGCCAGGUUCGCAAAAUUCCGGGUCACAAGGUCAGGGAUUUUCAUUGAUUUUGUACGCCUGGAAAAACGAGUAAAAUUUUCUUUAUGAUCAUUUAUUUUUUUUGUUGCCCUACAUGUAUGCUGACCACUUGCCAGGUCAAUCAAUAAAACUUCUCCUGUGAUCUUGCUCUCAAAUGAAGGUGCUUUAUAGCACGAUUUAUAACUCAACUUCGACUUCUUGCUUCUAUUAGCUUAAUCAAUCAAAUUGAGCAGACUUUUUUUUUAGAAAAGCAAGCUAUGAACGAGUGUUGCAGGUAGCUCUCUUGGAAUUUGGAUUUUUACACUUGAUCCUCUCUCGUUUUGCUGGUUUGGCAGUCUUCUAUUUGACUGUGAUAAGGUCAAGUGAAACAAGUUUCAAGGCAAAGGAUUCUUGAUUAGCUUUGCUUUGGUAGGCCUUUGCCAAUUGAUAGAGAAGGCUAUUAGUUAGUCAUAUAUCAUCCAAGCAUGACAUGAAUAAUAAAGGGGAGGAAGGAUUGCUGGAUUGGAUGGCAAUGCCAAGCUGCAUCCAGAGGAAGAGAGUAACAAUCAUCAAUCAUAGACUCUGAAAAUCAUGAAGUGCUGUUUAGGGGCAUUUUGGUCGAUCAGGCUCUCAAAAUCAUAACAGAUUGAGAUCCUCCCACUGAAAUCAAGAACCUGCCAUCCCCAUAACCGCCGCCACCACUCCUCUAAUUCUGCACCGUCUAUAUUUUUCCCGCUCUAUUACAACUAACUAACAACUACCACCACCACUACCAUUUCGUUUACUCCACGGUCAGACAAAAAGCCCCAGAGAAAAUCACCAACCAAACAAUGGGCGCCACCCGGAAUGUCCUCCUCAUCUUUCUGGCUGCCGCCAUUCUCACCUCCGCCGCCUCAGCACAAACACUCGUCCACACAUACCCACCCUCCCUCUUCGCCACCAUCCUCUCCGCCCUCGGCUUCCGAGACCUCUCCAACGUCACCGCCAAUGCCAACCUCUCUCUCACCGCUCCCUCCACUGUCUUCGCCCCACCGACUCCUCCCUCCUCACUUGCCCCUCCUGCUCCCUGCCUCUUCUCCUCCAAGAACAUUCCCUCCCGGGCCUCUACUCUUUCCACUUUCUCCGCAACUUAGCCUUCGGCACCAAGAUCGAGACCUUCGCCCGCAACCGCUGUCUCACCAUCACCGCUUCCCCCAUCAUCAACCCCUCCGACGCCGUCUCCACCCCGAAAAUCUUCGUCAACGGCGUCGAAAUCACCAAACCGGACCUCUUCAAUAAUGGCCUCGUCAUCGUCCACGGCAUCCAGGGGUUUAUGUCUCAUCUCUCGCCGACUUCCUGCACUAUCGAGAAAAUGACUACCCUCGCCUACCCAGACCCCGCCGCCCACGGCAGAGUUCUUGGUCAUGCGCUCGAUGCUGAAAGAGGCCAUGGCCGAGUUGCGUGUCAGGGGGUUCAGUUUGGUGGCUCUGGCGAUGAGGGUCAAGUACCCGGAGCUGGCAGACCUCAAGUCCAUGACGCUUUUCGCGAUUGACGAUGGGUCCAUCUUCGCCGGAGGGGGAGGGCAUGCUUACGUCACCGACCUAAUGUUCCACAUAGUGCCCAACAGAAUUCUGAAGGGGUCGCACUUAAUGAGUCUGCCGCUGGAUACGGUGAUCCCGACGAUGGAGCGCGGGCAGGAACUGGUUGUGACCACCGCAGGCGGAGGAGGGCCCUUGUCCCCAUGAGGAUAAACUACAUGAAGAUUAAGAGCCUUGAUUUGGUGAGUAAUAAGAGGAUAGUGGUGCAUGCACUGUCAAACCCAUUGCCCACGUGCACCGUCGGACGGCGGUUAGGGAGGAGGAGGCCACUUGUGAUGAGCACCAAAGUGGAUUGUGCGAGGAAAGUGGUGGUACUAAACGACAACGGUGCAGAUUGAAGAUCCUUUUGGUUUGUGAGGUUCUGAUCCCUGCCCCAAUUUUGCAUCUGUGCAUUGCGUCGCUGUUUCAUUUUGGUCAAUCGUUCAUUGUUGAUCGAAGUUCUUCAAAUUCAGGGGAGGCAUAUUCCUGUAAAUUUCACUACAAUUUGAGUCCACUCCCCUAAUUGAUUUUAAUUGUUUGAUUUUUCUUUUUAUUCAUUUUGGAAGAUAGAUGCUCAAGUCUCGGAUUUCCAUUUGAUUGGAGGAGUCGAUAACAGCAUUAAACGGACUAUUUCAGAAGAUAAAGUUGACAAACAAAAUGUACAUACGUUUUCUGUGCUUUCGUUUACUUCACUUGCCCUGAUAGCUCUAAAAGCUGCAAUUCAAGCAAAAUCUGACUCCAUGACUCACACACACAUCUGAAGCAGAGAGAAUUUCACUGGUCUUGAUACUUCUUUUUAUGUCUUCAUCUGUGAAUCCUCGCCAAUAUCCAUCAUUUCCAACCCAAACGUUAGUUCAUCUGGAUCCAAGUCCUCGUACACCUUGCAAAGAACCCCAUCAUCCGGCUGCAAAAAAAGUAGACAACCAACAAUCGAUUAAUCAGUAUACCGAAACCAGGGCAUCGAAGAGAAACAAAAUUAGCUCUCUAUUUUCCGAAGAGAAACAAAAUUAUUACUUGUGAGGGAGCAGCAGAGCUUACUCACGGUCUCCUGUGAUCACAUUCCAUUCGAUUGAACAACAAUGGUGCAGGAGUCUGUACUCGAUCAUAUUCCAGUUUGUCUUGCUUCCUUUACCAUGUUCACCUUCAAAGAAGCAGAGUCUUCUCUUGACCCCCAUCCACGCUGCAAAUUUUCAGUACCCAUUCCUUGUUUGCCGAAUUGGGCGAAAGGGCAAUCCAAAUAGUAGAUAUGCCUCGGUGUCAACACAUAGCAUUCUUUCCUUCCACCGUCAUUUAACUCCUCUGCAUUCACACACACAAAAAUGUUUCAAUCCAAAUUCUUUCCUUUCCCCAAAAAACCAAAAACCAAAAAAAAAAAAAGGGAUACGCCCAAACCUGGAAAGAAAUCUUGUUGGCCUAGUCGCCGAUUAGUCCAACCCUUCGAAGGUGCGGAUUUGGGAGUGUACUGACUCAGCUAGCCAAAUAAAGUCCCAUAAGCUUAGGAAGCUUUUGCCGUUAGGGAAUUUUCAUACGAUGAAAAUAUAGAAAUUUUCAAAAUAUGUCAUCAAUUGUCCAACCAGAAUCGCAGAUAUUAUCUACUUCAUGUUUUUAAGACUUCAAGAUCAACCUCCUGUUAAUAUUCUAAACUGAUAGAAAAUAUAUAGUUAACCCACAAGGGAAAAAAAAGAAAGAAGGAAAGAAAGAAACGCAAGAUUUAUACUCUAAAAUAUUGACUUAAUAUUGUUACCAAAAAUUACUUUUGCAAACUAGAAUUUUGACAGUUCCUAAUUCAAGCUGUAAAUGCAUAAAUCUUCUAAAACGAUUAAAUCUAUAUUAUUAAGAAUAUAAAAUUCUGUCCAAUAUUCAAUCUUUAACCAACAUUUGGUCCCCUUGCAAAAAAAAAAAAAAAAAAAGGUCCAUUUCCUCUCUAAUUCACUAAUAAGGUUGAUUACAAGUCUUGAGGUCCCAGAAAUCAGAGCUCCUAGAUUAUAAUCCUUCUACCCUUCCUCGCUUUAUAAACCUCACUCCUUCUCUGCUAAAGAAAAAAAAUUUCUUGAACAAUUAAUUAUGCAAAAUAAUCAGUAUUACAUUCAAGAAUGGCGCCAUAUAUCUAGAAAAUAGAUCAGUAUGAAAAUUGCUAGGAUAAUGAGUCUAAUUCUUUUGUGAAGUUAGCGUGAGGAAAAUAAUUAUCUUAUCCGUGACGUAGCACGGUUUAUUUUUAAAAAUUAUUUUGAAUUUGUGCAAGCAUGAAUAAUUUUAAAUAAAAAAUUAACAUGAAUCCUACAUGUUCAUUCAUUUUAGUUUUUAGAAAAUUAAUGUAUUCAUUUUAGUUUUAGAAAAUUAAUGUAUUCUAAAUGUUUAAUUAUCAUACUAAUUUUUAAAACGGCAUGGACUUUCAAGCGUUCCGAGUCCUUGGAGCACCUCGGCCCCACCAACUUUGUCCAACCUGGCAAAUGGUAGGCCGAUUUUCUCAUCAGUUGUGAUUUCCUCAAUUAUCAUAGGAUAGCCCUGCCCGUUUCUCCCGGCCCAAAACAAAUUGCUUAGUUCCUCAAUACGGCGGCGGUAGACGGAAGGUAUGCUGCCAGUUCCUCCAGCUCCAAGUCAGAGUCUGACCCGUGUCACGCCGCCCUUCCCUUCUUCUACUUCCGCCCACCGCCAACGUCGACUACCGGAGCCCACCACCACCGUACCAAUCCUCCAUUUUUCUUGCUUCAAUUAUUCCCUCGUGACGUCGCUCCUUUCACCAAAGCUAACAACCACUUCAAUCUCUGCUAAUAAGCCCUUCAAACCUUGUGCUGCUACCAAAAGCAACCGCAGCCAUGACCCCAGAGAGUCUUCAUUCUUUGAUGAAGACGGCGUCGUACGGGACAUGGACGGUUACCUUAAUUAUCUUUCCUCGAGUAUGACUCUGUUUGGGACACCAAGCCUUCCUGGUUGGUCAUCCAUCUCACCACACUUCUUGUUCCAAUUGCCUCACUGUAUAUUUGCAACCCACCAAUAGCUGUAGAACAAAGAAACAUCUGUGUUUUUGGAUGUCGAUGUACUAAUUAACAGUGGUAGUAAUAACUUACCAGCCAUUUUUAACUCAACUUGUUUGCGAAGUAAAUGUCAUAUCCCUAAUGAUUGUCACAGUAGUAACUAGUAGUAAUUGCCUGGCUGUAGAUAAUUGCCUGCUUGUUUUUAAUCCCUUUUGAUGAUAGCAGUAAAUGCCCUCUAACUAAUUCCCUUCCUCAGGUGUCAACCUUGGACGAUAACCACAACUGGCGUGUUACUAAUUGCCGGUAGCUGGCUUUUCUGCGCUCCCUUAUUGUUACUGCUGGCGUUAUGGGUUUGGUAUGUGCGUGGUGGUACAUCUUUCUGUAUUCUUACCCCAAGGUAUUGGUGGAUGCUUCCUCAAUCAGUCAAUUAUGUUCGAAAUUACUGGAAGAAACCAUACACAUGACGAGAUCUAGUUUGCCCUUUCAGCAAUGAAGAUGUUGAUAUACAGCAAAGGCUUAAAAAUCUUACAAUUUUCUUUGCAGGCAUAUCUGGAAAUGAUUGCAGAGCGCAGAAAGAGAGUUACAAGUGGUGUGGAAGAUACAUACGGCUUGGGAAGAUUUGACAGAGAAGCCGGGGAAGGGGAUGCCGGACCCAGCACCAAGUAGUCCAAGGCUGUCUACCUUUUCCCCUUCUCCUUUCUCCUCCCCGACUAGUGCGAAUCACACACACACCCGCUAACAGCUCCAGUAAAUUUCAAGUAAAACUGGCUAUGUAUUUGCAUUAAGCACAGGCGUUUUGCCUGGAUCAAAACGGAACUUCGAAUAUUGUUCGUUGAGACCUGCUAGAUUUGUUAAUUCUUUAUCCAAGCGUGAAAAGAAAUCUUCAUCCAAGCAAAUGUGCAAAGAAGCUGGAAAUACUACUGAAACCAGUCCCAUUAUCAGACAGAUUAAUGCUGGCUGGAACUACUGAGAAAUAUAAAACCAUGCCCUUUCAACUGGACUUAUUUUAUGCUUACAAGAUCAGUAGUAUUUCUUUUGACGCUUUUACUUGCUCUUUCAAAGGCUACGGCUACACUAGCAGCACUACGGUACCACUGGCCAAAUGUUAUCCACUCCUCUGAUUUAGUUGGUGAUCUUGCUUGCAAUUUUCAUAGUAUAAUCUACUAUUUCUAAAUAAAUACUUAUGGAUAGUAUAGGCCCAAAGUUCUUGGUUCUUUCUCUGUCUUUUUUUUUUUCUUCGGGGACGCACUUUUAAAGACCAUAACCAGACUCCGGGUUGGAUGAGGAGCUUUUGUGGUCUAAUCAUUCCUUUUGAUAUUGGGGGUACGGGUUUUUUGGAAAGAAGAUCCAUCUGUAAUUGGCAUUGUCCCUUGAUUUGCUAUAGUUUGAUGAGAUUUUUUUUCAGAAUAAUUACCUUUUUUUUUUGCCUUGGGUGAGAAGGGGGUGGAUAGGGAGAUAGAGUUGAUGGUGGUUUUGGGAGGAGGUCCUUGAUGGUGGUGGUGGUGACAAGAAAGUACAUUAAUGGAAUGGUAAUUUUGUUGGUGGUCUACAAAAGAUAUGAUUGGUAUGAUGGAUUGGAGGUGGUGUGAUAGGUUCGCAUUGGGGAUCCAUCUGCUAUGGUGGGUCUUUAAUUUUUUUGGAGAUGUAAUUCACUAAAACUUCCAUGCUUGGAUUGCUUGUUUCGUCGGAAAAUAUUGUCAUUUUCCGUGAUCACAUUUUCCUAUCAUCUUUUUCUCUCACAUAUAUCAAAUCGCUACAGUAAUUUUUCCAUGAAAAAUGACGGAAAAUGCAAUCCAAACACAACCUUAGUUUCAAUCGAGAGAAAUGGAGGAAAAUUAGAGAAAAGAAAAAAAAAAGUAUGAGGACUUAUCUCUUCUUUGGAAGUUUUAACCGGAGAGAAAAGAAAGUAAUUGGAGAGAAAUGGAAGGAUAAAAUCUUAUGAAAAUUUUAUCUACAAAAGUGGAUAGAAAUGGAAGAAAAGUGUACUAAUAGCAUCAAAAGGACAUGAAUUAUCACAUUUGCUCGUUACAGUAAACAUCAACACUAUUGAACUUGAGGGUACAUAAGUAAAAUAAACAUAUUAGUCAGCUUUUCCCUCCUGUUACUCCCAAAUCGCAUGAAAGGAAAUUGACCAUUUUUUGUUCUUACUCUUCUCCCCUUCUUUCUUAAGUUUUCUCAUUUUUUUUUUCCUCUCCUCUUAUCAACUUCCAAACCAUAGGGUUAUUUUGGUUAACGGAUAUGCUGAUCGACCCAUAUAAUUGGAUUAAUCAUUUUGUGAUCCGUAUUUGGAUCUGCUAAUCGGAUAUCCGCAUUAUGCGGGUCAAAUCAAUUGGAUCUGGGAAUCUGUAUUUGAUUUUUUAAAUUUCUUUUAAAAAACUACAAAUCCCAAAGAUAAAAUGAAAUAUAAAUAUAUUAGAGUUUCAAAAUAUUAUCUAAGUAAAUUUGUUGUACUCACAUAUGAGUUUUUAGUCAUAAAGAAAAGAGUUUUUAGUUGAAACUAGUCUUUUUUCUGUUGCAAUAUAAAGUAACUUUCAUAUAUAUUUUUUCUUAUUUUGAUUCAAACAAAUAAGAUUUAAUAUUUCUUCAAGAUUUUUUUAUCCACAAAUUAUAUCAUAAUGUGUCUAAAAACUUAAUACCGUAUGCAAAGAAAGUCUAUCUUGAAAGAGGAUGCAAGAUAUAAAGAUAAGAAAUAAGAGAUAAAGUUCUAAAAAUUCUAAAAUUUUAAAAAAUGCUGAUCAAAUCAAAUAUCCAUGAAUCACAAAAAAAUAAGAUAUCCGAAUAUGAUCUGCGUAACUUCUUAAUUCACUUAUGAUCCAAUACAUCGGAUCUAGAUCGGAUUACCGAAUUUUUUGGAUCACCGAGUUAAGAUGCACACCCAUACAAAUGAAGCUUAAGUUAACCAAACAAAGUACAAAUACGAGAAGCAAACGGACCCUAAAACAUUGUCGACAAUAAAAUGUAUUUGUAACAAAUGCGGGGACUACUUUAGCAAUUUUUCCCUCGAGGGUUUUUCCCAAUUUGAUCUGAAGACUUCCGAGCAGCGGAACAAAUAGACGGAGAGAGAAAGGUCGGGGAAGAACAAUAGCGGAGAUGACGACGAUUAGAAGAUUUUGCUGCAACGAUCUGCUUCGAUUCGCGUCAGUGAAUCUGGACCAUCUCACCGAAACCGUGAGUUUCUUUCCUCAACUCGUACAUACAUGUAAUUCUCAAUCAGGUGCUGCAUAAGAUUGUAGGGCUUAAAAUUUUGUUUAUUUUCUUGAAUACUAAAGACGAAUGGAAUAAUUUGUUUACCCAGUUCAACAUGUCGUUCUACAUGACCUACUUGGCAAGGUGGCCUGACUAUUUCCACGUGGCUGAAGCUCCCGGAAACCGAAUCAUGGGAUACAGUGAGUUCUCCUUCCUCAGUUGCCGUUGGUUGAUUUUUUGAAUACUGUAACUACUACUAUGUAUUUGAAAGGAUUUUUUUGAUUGGAGUAACAUAUUUUUACUACUUUCUGAGUAAAGGAUUUAUCUUUGAUACAAUUUGUUGGGAAAAUAAAUAAAAGGUGCCACGAGUAAUUUCUGCCUUUAGUUCAAUAUAUAAAUUUCAACUAAUGAAAUUGAUGUAUAAUAUUAAAGAUUUGACUUUGAGAGUUGUCAAGUUUUGAGUGCAAUUGUCAGAUGCAUUGAAUUGGAGAGUUCGCGUCAGCGAUGAACUUAAAAAGUUUCUAUGGCUUUCUGAAGUAUAAUUGGCCUGGCGAAGGAUAGCGUGGCUCUGGCUGGGGUAUAAUUGUCCCAUUGAAUAUCAGUAUAAGAACUUGAUGGCGCAAGAUAUUCCUGCACCACAUACAUUCAUGUAGCUUGAAACAGCACAUUUAGUGGUAGAUGAUGAUAGAUUUGAAUUUGAAGUUCUCUCUUCUUGCACAGCACAAUGUCAUCCAGAGUUUUUGGUGACCAUGCAAGUGAUGAAGACUGCUUUUUGGUUAUCUCAAAUUGUGGUUUCCAUAUUCUGAUUGAGAUUGUAUAACAGUAAUUUGCUGAUGACACCUAAUGCUAACAACUUCUUGCAGUUAUGGGAAAAGUUGAAGGACAAGGUGAAUCUUGGCACGGUCAUGUCACGGCAGUAACUGUGUCUCCUGAAUAUCGAAGGCAACAAUUGGCCAAGAAGCUGAUGAACCUAUUGGAGGAUAUUAGUGACAAGAUGUAAGACAAUGUAGUUUUGUUGAAUGAAGUUGUCAUCUCCUUUUUCCGGCCACCCUCUAUCUUGUGAUAAAAGGAAAAAAUGUAGUUGUGUUUGCUUUGCGCUCCUUAGCUUUUCGUACCCAACUACUCCCAGAUGAGCGGAGGCUUGAUCAUGAUAGGAGGACACGCUAAAAGAAUAUAUGAUUACAGCACUAGAUGUAUUAGUCUCUGAUAUCUUUCUAUAUUCAGAUUUAGACUCUUUCAUGGCCUUCUGUGUCUCUAUUUUAUUUGAUGCGUGAAAAUGUGUUUUCUUUGACUGUAUAGUGUACCACGUGCUGCCAAUCUAGCUUGAAAUGGACUCUAGGAGAAAUUUUUUUAUGUAUAUGUUUGUAUUCGAGAGUCUUGUUUUAUCUACAGUUGUUCAUGAUGUGCUCUUCUAUUUUUACUUACCAGGGUCUCUCUUUCUGGUUUUUUAUUUUUUUGUCCUUUUUCUGCAUGUUGCAAUUGUUAGAUUCUUUUGCCUCUCCCUUGAGAUAUAGAAGCUUCUAAGUACCUUCUAAUCAGUUAGAAUUGCACAUAAUUAUCCCGGAAGUCUCGGGGUCCUGCUUUACCAUUCUCUUUAGUCAUUUCCUUUCAUUCUCUUAUGUUAGAAUUGCAUAUAAUUAGUUUUUAUUAACUUGACCUUCUAAGCUGAUCUUCAUGCUCUAAAUCUUAAUUCUGAUAACCACAACAAAAUUUGAAGUUCAUCAUUCUAUCAUGUCACCUAGAAAUUUCUUGUCAAUGUGAUUACUUCAGCUUUUUACUUUUGAGCCAUAGUCACAGCUACUUGCAAACUUAUCAACACUAUAUGAAGUUUACCCUCUGAUUGCCCGCCCCCCCCCUCCCCUCUUCUCUCCUCCUUUUUUUAAACAGUGAUAAGGCUUAUUUUGUGGACCUUUUUGUGAGAGCAUCAAAUACACCAGCCAUAAAGAUGUAUGAAAAGGUAAGGCUUUUGGCCUCUCUUUUCAUGUUCUUACCAUACCAAAUCUGCUAAUAGCAGUUAUCUUUGAGAGUGUUAGAUUCUCAUAAAAUUUGCCUUCCUUUCAGCUUGGAUAUGUUAUAUAUCGACGUGUACUACGAUAUUACUCUGGGGAAGAGGAUGGCUUGGGUGAGUACCUGCAUCCAAUAGUUACGAGUUUUCCUUUGAACUUCACUCUUAUGUUACCCCUGACUUGUCUAUGUGUAACCCAUUUCAGAUAUGAGAAAAGCAUUGUCUCGGGAUGUAGAAAAGAAGUCUAUCAUCCCCCUUAAACGUCCAGUAACUCCGGAUGAAUUGGAGUAUGAUUAGAUCCUUCAUUUAAUUAACAUUAAAAGAAAAUAUGAUGCUUUGGCAUGGUUGUGAUUUUGCAUUAGAGCAUCUUGAUGCGGUUGUAGUCAGGCAUGUAACGAUGAGCUAUAAGAUUUGUAUUUCAGAAUUUAUGCCAAUGUUUCGUAUUCCUUCUGCUUCUGCUCCCCGCGCACAGGAGGCAGUUGUCCUGUGCGCGGCGUGUUAUGGUUAAUAAUUUGUUAUCCUCGAGUAAAGCAGAUUUAGUUGUGUUGAUCUUCGCUUCGCUGUUUCCCCUCAACACUUCAACUUUCAUUAUUUGGUCUUUGGUAAUAUAUGAUGCGUGCUUGAUUCGUACUAAGGUAGCUUGUCGAUUAAUCUCUCCAACAUCUAUGUCAAGCUUAAAGAAUUUCCUAAACGAAAAAAAAAGUUCGUUGAAUUAUGAUCAACGGGAAAAUGUAUUGCCAGGAUGAGGUUGUUAGUACCAGGGUCAAUUACACUUUGCCCUCUUGAACUUGGUUCAAAGUAACAUUUUGCCCCUUAAACUCUAUAUAUAUAUAUAUACAUUAUUUCUCAUGGUCAAGUUGUUGGCAAAUUUAGAAUAGAAGUUAUAUUUUGCAUGACCAAAGUAGUCCCAACCAACUCUUGAACGUAUGUAUAUAAUAAAUGUGUCCCUAAUAAAUGACUUUUUUUUCUUCCAGUAGGUGCUAAAUCUAGUUGAAUGCAACUACGCCAUGUAUUUGACUUUUUAGUAAUAAUAAAAAAAAUUGUAAAGAAAAAUGUCCAAGUAGCUCAAAGUAAAUGUAGAGAUCAAGUGCAAGAAGACAAAGUGUAAUAAUUUCUUGUCCUGUAGCGGAGCAGAUUCUUGCAGUGAGUUUGGUUGCUUAGAGCAUGUACGGGCUCUGAAUCGUGGACUUGUCAAACAAAAUGGGCUGACAAGACGAAGGUUUAUAAGAACUCGCUCCAGAUUGCCAGGAGACUUGAAGGUCUUAUUACGCAGCCUCGUACCUUUGUUUGCUGGGAAAUUUUGCGCUUUGAUUGAAAAGGACCAAUCUCUUGAGCGUACAAUGGGCCAUGUGGUCACACCAGCGCACUUAUUAGCGUUCGGAAAGGAUAAAAAUACGGUUUUGUGUGCACUUAUUGCUGGUGGUUGGUUUUGAUACUUACUUACUCAAAUGUUGGCUGGUUUUGAGUGUGUCAGAAUUAGUCAUGUGAGGAGGACCAAUAAGUUGUUCCUGCCCACGCUAUGUCAAAAAUAUCUUUAUUUUGAGGGGACUGGACGAAGAGGAGGACCAAUUGAUGCUGUAACCACAUAUUCAUCAUGAAUGAAAGUCUCCAAAUUAUUUAUCCAAAAAAAAAAAAAAAACUCUUGAGUUAUUUUGGUAUCCGAACUUUGAAUAAAAAAAAAUUUAAUACUCAAUGUUACAAUAUAUAAGUGAAUGCAGUGCACUUGACAGAUUCUUUUUUUUUUUUUUUUGUCAAUUCCUACUCAAUGUUACAAUAUUACGCAGCCUCGCACCUUGGUUUGCUGGGAAAUUUUGCGCUUUGAUAGAAAGAACGAAUCUCGAGUCUUGAGCGUACAAUGGGCUAUGGGUCACACCAGCGUACUUAUUAGCAUUCCGAAAGGAGAAAAAUACGGUUUUGAUACUCAAAUUUUAACUUUUUUUGUCGUAAUAAUAAUAUUUGUAUAAUCUAUUUUAAUUUAAUAUAGGGGAAGGAGGCCUAGUCUACGGAAGAAAGGGAAACUUAACCGACAAAAAAUCGUCGGAGAAAACUACUUAAAAUUGACAGUCACACUUAAGUGGCAAAUAUACGGUGAAAAGCAAAAUUUCACCACCCCACCAAGACUUUACCAACAGCCUCUUGGCUGUUGGCUGAUACUCAAACUUUAAUUCAAAUGUUGGCUAGUUUUGAGCGUGUCAGAAUUAAGUCACAUGAGGAACCAAUAAUGUUCCUGCUCACAUUAUGUCAAAAAUAUCUUUACUUUUGAGGGGACUAGAGUUUGGUUUAUGGACUUCCCCAAGAGGAGGACCAAUUGAUGCUGUGACCACAUAUUCAUCAUGAAUGAAAGCCUCCAAAUUGUUUUUCAAAAAAAAAAAAUUUCUUGAGUUAUUUUGGUAUCCGAACUUUGAAUAAAAAUAAUUGUAAUACUUAAUGUUACAAUAUAUAAGUCCAUACAGUGCACUUGACAGAUUCUUUUUUUAAAAAAAAAAAAAAAAAUUUCCUACUUCGAAAAGUUACUUAUUGUCCAGCCACAAAAUUUUAAAAAUUUCAAAAAAAAAAAAAAACUGCCAACCUCAUGGCUAAUGAUUUAAGGACUAAUAGAAUGUGACUUAGUCAUUUAAAAAGAAAACAACUCAACUAAAGAAAAUAUCUAGUCGAGCUACUCAUAUACGCUCAAAACUCCUCUAUUCUCUUGUCCGUACCCUUCAAUAAAUCAAAGCAGCAAAAAACAAAAAAAAAAAAGCUUUGGGACCCUUACUUCAAUCGAAUAUUUAUUGGAUUCAACCAUGAAAUCAUACCAAAUGUACUUAAAUAUUGUAAUAUUAGAUAUUGAAUUUAUUUUCAUCCAGAGUUUUGGAACUAAAAUUGCUCAAGAAUUAAAGUUUGGAUAUUAAAAUUGCAUUUUACUCUUUGAAAAAUCUUACCCACUGGCUAAAGAGAACCAAAAACGAAACAGCAUAUUUGAUAGGAGGGGGACGGUGGAGAGUAUGGUAGCAAAAGUUCGCAAGAGCAAUGUUGAUCUACUACUAGUACUUGUUAUGGAUUUGAUUUCUCUUUUGUUCUUUUCCAUGCCAUACCCCAUUUGAUAUUUUGAGCCUGAAGAGAGGUGGGGUUGAAUGGUUCAUGUUCCCCACCCACCCCCCCGCCCCCCUCUCUCUUCCAAAAAUUGUGCGACAGUGAUUUGAGGUUGCAUGUGUUCCUGUCUGAGCCAUGGUUCAACUAAAAAAAAAAAAAAAAAAACUUGGCCGUAACGGAUCUUCUGUCCCACACUCUAUGCCACUUUUAUUAUAUUACUAUUUCUCCUACAUAAAUAUCAUGUUUUAAUUUUUUUUUUGUUUCAUUAAAAUCCAAUAACUAUUAAUUAAGUAAAAAAUAAUACAACAGCUUCAAAAAAGCAAUAUAUAUAGAAAAUUUAAAAAUACAGCAGAAAAUUCAUUAAAAAUCUCAUUUUUUAUGCAUUUUGAUUUUUUGAGUUUGUUAAAUUUUGUGUAUUACUCAAUUAAUAGUUAUUGGAUCUUAAGGAAGCAAAAAGAAUUAAAACAUGAUAUUUAUGAGGAAGAAAUAGCAAUAUAAUAAAAAGUAGAACAAAAAAUGGCACAGGACGUGGGAUAGAAGAUCCGUUGCGACACACGACUGUUGCUUGUGGGCUGUAUAAAGUGUAAAGACGCUGCCAAAACCAGCAAGACAACUAUAACCUGGGCCAGCCAUCUGUUCGCCUUUGCUCUGCACCUGCGUUGCGGCCUUUCCCAGCUCUUGCUUUCUUUGAUUAUGAAAAGAAAGGGGGACGAUUGUUGUGGGGACCGCUCCCCACCAAUUUGUCACAGUUAAAUGUGGCCCCACUUAAUUGUAUCCGUCUGAUUCCGUGGUGGUUCAGUUCUUUCCGAAUUAUCCCAAGACCUAUUCAGGCCCUCCCCCUCCCUUCCCCUUCCCAUAGUAUAGCAAGCUAUUGUAUUGGAAAAAAAAAAUCAGUAAUUUUUAAUUAAUUUCAUACAUUUGGUUCUUUCUUUUCUCUUUUUUGUUUUGGUGGUAAUGGGAAGUGUCAAGGAAUUUACUAGCUACUACUUUUUGGCUCUUGCUAUUAUUUAUUGUUGUUUACAUGACUUCUUCUUUUUAAGAAUUGAGUUGAUGUAUUAUGUUAACAAAUUGUAAACUGUGUUUUUUGUUCGGCUCGUGUUAAAAAAAAAAGAGAGAAAAAUUUUACACUCACAAUGUAUAGAAAUUAAUUCCAUCUUCUAAAUGAUUUUUUUAAAAAAAAAAUUUAAAGUGAUUUUGAUGAGUUAAUUUAAUCAAAAAUUGAUUUGGAAAACACACGUAGAAAAAGCAAUAUCAUAAAUUCCGGAUAGAGAUCAGAUAUCAGAAUUACAGGGCGGCAGGCGAUCCACUUGCAGCCCUUGCUCGUACGAGAAGAACGGAGAGUUUUUCCCACUUCCUCACCAUUGUUUUUCCAUCAGCAGGAAUCCGAGGAGUCAAAUUUCUGUCAAAAUCCCACUUUCUCCAGCCUCCCCAAAAUUUAUCUCUGCCUGAUACAAAAAGGCCCUAGAAUUUUCUAAUUUUAUCUCUUGCCCUGUCCGGUUUAAAAUGGAAACCGAAUCACCGCCAUACGUUGGAUCUGGCUUUAUCUCCACUUUGACAUCAAUCAAAGAGAUGAAGUAGCAACUUGUCGCAUGUCAUUCAAGAACAUGCCUCUGCCAUUAUCGACGCAUCACACACUUACGGAGAAACCAUGAUCUAAACAGGCUUACAAGCGUGCAGAUUCUCAGGCAAAGAACAACAUAUAAUGUGCUUUCUGCAAAUGCAUCCACUACAUUUAGUUCCGUCAAGCGUAUGAACCAUGCAUGCGUAAUCUUCCACAAGUUCACUUAAUUAAAUGCUGUACGUUCACAAGCUUAGAUUGGAUUUGCCAAUAUUUUCUAAGGCACAUUGAAGAUUAAAAGAAAAAUUACAUAUAAUUAUUCGUUUCUAUACAUGUUGUGAGCACUUAAUUACUACUACAACAGUAUGAGAAUAAACUUUUCACUGGGUGCCAUUUAGCGACGAGAACAAAAGGAAUGGACAUGUUAAAUCAAAGUACUCUCUCAAAGAGAACUUUGGCCAUAUGGAAAUUGACGGUUCCUGGAUUGC
rnacentral:lncRNA from 1 species